rnacentral:lncRNA from 1 species
AUGUCGCUGUGUUUCCAUACUCACAGUAGUGGCUGUGGUGGCUUCCAUAAACACAGAGGAGAUGGUGUCAUGACAGCCUGAAUGAUUUCUGCUCCUUCUCAUCCAGCAUGGGUCUCAAUUACAACUAUAGCCUUACGGUUCCAGCUCAGGCUAGGACAGCUCCAAGCUUCCAAUCUCACGACCACUUUGCAUCAACAGUAGCAGCCACCACCACUGCAGAACUCUUCCAAGCCUGUUAUUGUUCAGGGUCUGCUUCUAGAGUACUACCAUGCUGUCAGCCUCUGGCUCACCUGCUAACCACUUCCCUGACCUCCAGGGAUCCAUCAGGGCCAGGGUAAGGCCCAACCCCAACCCUGCCAGCCACCAUCACUUUAACCCCCCUAGGGCACUUUUACCUGCUUCAUCAAGCAGCAGGGUCCCAACCAGUACCCUUUAGGCCAGAGGUCUACCUCCUCUGCUGGUAGGGGGCACAGUUGUGGGGCCUUGGCAGUGCCUGAUGGUGCCAAAGGUGGCAAAACACCUGUCAGGCCAAAAUCAGAUGGUGGCCUGGGUCUAAGCACUCCUGGUGGCCACCACAAGCCACCACAUUAAAGUUGUGGGGAGCCCUUAGAAGCCACCAGCACCACCUGCCCUACCACCAGCAGUAUGAGUAAAGGCCCCUGCCUGGCAGGCUCUGUGGCCACAAUAAGACCUCAGUUUAGAAGAAGUUUAAAGCCAAUUUCUAUCUCCUAAAGCAUGGAGAGAAAAGUUACAUACAGUGCUUUUGGUUGUUUGUUAAACAUUGGAGGUGGUCAACUUCAAGUCUGCUUAGCCACAUAUGUUGCUGUACUUUUUUGUUGUUGUUCACCAUAAAUAUUAUGUUUCCAAAGAACUAUUGGAAGAAACUUUUAACCAGCUUGGUGCUAUUGAAAGGACCAUUUAAUAAUGGAUGAACAUGGAAUAUCUAUAGGAAAAAGCAUUGUUGAAUUUAUUCUAGAUUAGUAGUAGCAAGAAAGGCAUUUGAAUGAUGCAGUAAAGAUGUUUUCUUACUGACAACUCCUCAUCUAGUCAUUGUGAAACCACUCGAACAACUAAAUGGUGAUGACAGUAUUCUUGAAAAAAUUUCACAGAAGGGUCCAGUGUAUCAAAAGAGAGAUAAAUCGCUCCUCAUUUUGCCCUAUAUGACAUUUAAUUCUGAAUAUUCUUAGUGAUGGAAGUCCUUGGAUGAAACAAAACAGCAAAGGAAUCAUGUUGAAAAAACAUGAAUCAUGUAAAAUACUAAUUUGGAAAGUGAAAUAGGAGAUGCACUCAAGGAACAUCAAGGAAAUCUUUUGCACCAAGAUCUGAUAAGGCAGGAGGAAGAAUUAUGAUGCAUGCAAAAACUUCACAAUCAAGGAAUGCAGAAACAUAAAGAAAUGCAAUUGAGGCAAGAGGAGAAACGACAGAGGAGGAAAAGAUGAUGAUUCAUUGAUAUGGGAUGGAAGAACAGAUGAGGCACCAAAUUACAGGAAAAUUACAGUCAGAUGGGCUACAUGGAUCCAAGAGAAAGAGAUAUGAGAAUGGGUGGCACAGGAGAUCCCUAUGGUUCAGGAGGCCAGAAAUGUCCACCUCUAGAUGAUAAUGAUGGCAUAGGUUAUGACACUAAUUUUAGAAUUCCAUUAGAAACCACGAGUGGAUCCAUGAAGGAAAGUGUCAUGUGUAUGGAGUGAUUUGGGCAAGAAGACACAGGACUUGUGGGGGGAAGGGUCCUAGAUGAAUGGAGCCCAGAAUUCCACAGGGAUAUUGUAGAGGGAGAGAAGAGUAUAAA